rfam:Gossypium raimondii Chr04_contig_33, whole genome shotgun sequence.
AGUUAAAGUUUUCAUUCAAAUCUACUGUUAAAAACUGGCGUGGCUGAUGGAAUAACUAGACAGUUACACAUGGCAUGUCAACGUACAAGGACCAACUUUUAACAGUAGAAACGGAUGAAAUUUUUAAUA